GACUGAUCUCCCCCCAACAAUCCACAUCGAUGGGACAUUUGGCACCUCGAUGUAGGUCCAUUGCAAUCCGGAGCGGAAGUA
rnacentral:rRNA from 1 species